rnacentral:rRNA from 1 species
UGGGGAAUAUUGGACAAUGGGCGCAAGCCUGAUCCAGCAAUGCCGCGUGGAUGAAGAAGGUCUUCGGAUUGUAAAGUCCUUUCGGCGGGGACGAUGAUGACGGUACCCGCAGAAGAAGCCCCGGCUAACUUCGUGCCAGCAGCCGCGGUAAUACGAAGGGGGCUAGCGUUGCUCGGAAUGACUGGGCGUAAAGGGCGCGUAGGCGGACAUUUUAGUCGGGCGUGAAAUUCCUGGGCUUAACCUGGGGGCUGCGUUCGAUACGGGGUGUCUGGAGUGGGGAAGAGGGUCGUGGAAUUCCCAGUGUAGAGGUGAAAUUCGUAGAUAUUGGGAAGAACACCGGUGGCGAAGGCGGCGACCUGGUCCUUGACUGACGCUGAGGCGCGAAAGCGUGGGGAGCAAA